rnacentral:tRNA from 1 species
AAGAAAUAGUUUAUUUAAAAUAUUAAUUUUGGAGAUUAAAGAUAAGAAGAUUUCUUUUUCUUGAA